AACGAACGCUGGCGGCAUGCCUAACACAUGCAAGUCGAACGAUUGCCUUCGGGUGAUAGUGGCGCACGGGUGCGUAACGCGUGGGAAUCUGCCCUUAGGUUCGGAAUAACAGCUGGAAACGGCUGCUAAUACCGGAUGAUAUCGCGAGAUCAAAGAUUUAUCGCCUGAGGAUGAGCCCGCGUUGGAUUAGGUAGUUGGUGGGGUAAAGGCCUACCAAGCCGACGAUCCAUAGCUGGUCUGAGAGGAUGAUCAGCCACACUGGGACUGAGACACGGCCCAGACUCCUACGGGAGGCAGCAGUGGGGAAUAUUGGACAAUGGGCGCAAGCCUGAUCCAGCAAUGCCGCGUGAGUGAUGAAGGCCCUAGUGUUGUAAAGCUCUUUUACCCGGGAAGAUAAUGACUGUACCGGGAGAAUAAGCCCCGGCUAACUCCGUG
rnacentral:rRNA from 1 species